UAAAGUAUUCCGGCUAGAUAGCCACCUAUUGCAGUUCCCCCUAAACGGCUAUUGCGGUCCUAUCACAUGUAUUUUCAUAGACCAGUGGCAGGCCGAGAUGGGCGCAUCUGGUUACCAGGAUGGUGUGCUAUGUGUGUGGGACUUGAUACGGGGUGCCUGUAUGUGCAAAAUUGAAGCGACAAAAUUGACGACUCAAUCGUCGCACUUGCCUGUUCCCCGAGUUACGCAAUAUCGCUUGGACUGGACGAACGAAUACGGAUCUGGGAUAGAUUUCAGGGUCGUAUGGGACGACAAUACUGGAGAUGUAGCUCGGGAAGUCAGGCUUGACUGUUCCAAUUCACAGCUAAAUCCGAAGAUUAUGCUACCUGCCAAUGGUUAGGUAAUUUGUGACUACGGAAAUCGAAUGAGAAUCGUUCGUUUCCCACUUGUGGCGGCGGAAAAGUGGUUCGGUCCGGGGAAUCGUAAUCGGCCAGCUGUACAGCUGCAGCCUCCGAACGAAGCCAUUGCUAGCACGAGUCUUUGAUUUGGAAGGAUAGUUGCUGAGGACCAUUCUCACAAUAAGUUGAUAAUAUCCAUUACAUGAUCAAAUGCGCUGAUGGGUAUGAAUAUGCAUGUGUACGGUUUGGUAACCAGUACAAUUUACACCUUUCUAUGCAGUGCACGGCCACCAAUGAUUCUUCCAUAAAUUUAGACAUUGUGCCGAACAAGAGUAAAUUCGCGUAUAUAAAAUAUAUAGGAGGCCCUAUUUUCACAGUCACGUCACUUAGUGACUAGAAGGAAAUUUUCUUCUAGUCACUAGGUGACGUGACUGUGAGAAUAGGGGCUUGGAGCAUAUCGCUGUCUGUGCACGGAACUGAACAUGAUUAAAUUUUUGGCUCACGCGCAUUUAAACGAUCACUUAGCCUAUGUGUCCGCAUGUGACCGGUGGGGUAGCGUUGAGGGAUUUUGUCGCCGCUCACGGUACAUUUCUAUUUCUUCUCACUAAUGUGUAAGUACAUUUGCUGCACCCGCUUCUAGUGAAUACAUUUGAGCAGAUAUCACAAAUAGAUCCGAAAAAGUUAUUUCUUCGGGAGAAACGCUUCUCACAUAUCUCGAAUUCCCGAAGUCCUGGUGAAAUUAUGGUUGAUAUAACAAAUUCUGCCUGUUUCCCAGCAUUCUGCUUGAUAUAUUCCUGUCUAUGAUAGGCUACUAGUAUAUUCCGUCUGAAAAUA